GACGAACGCUGGCGGCGUGCCUAAUACAUGCAAGUCGAACGCAGUGGGGACGGGUGAGUAACACGUGGGUAACCUCCCAUCAGAGGGGAUACCACUUGGAAACAGGUGCUAAACCGAUACUGAUGGAUGGACCCGCGGUGCAUUUGCUAGUUGGUGAGGUAACGGCUCACCAAGGGCAAGAUGCAUAGCCGGCUCGAUAGGGUGAUCGGCCACACUGAAACUGAGACACGGCCCAGACGCCUACGGGAGGCAGCAGUGGGGAAGCUUCGGCAAUGGACGAAAGUCUGACCGAGAAACGCGGCGUGAGGGAAGAAGGUUUUCGGAUCGUAAACCACUGUUGUUAGAGAAGCGGUAUCUAACCAGAAAGCCACGGCUAACUACGUGCCAGCAGCCGCGGUAAUAC
rnacentral:rRNA from 1 species